rnacentral:rRNA from 1 species
UACGAAGGGGGCUAGCGUUGCUCGGAAUCACUGGGCGUAAAGGGUGCGUAGGCGGGUCUUUAAGUCAGGGGUGAAAUCCUGGAGCUCAACUCCAGAACUGCCUUUGAUACUGAAGAUCUUGAGUUCGGGAGAGGUGAGUGGAACUGCGAGUGUAGAGGUGAAAUUCGUAGAUAUUCGCAAGAACACCAGUGGCGAAGGCGGCUCACUGGCCCGGAACUGACGCUGAGACGCGAAAGCGUGGGGAGCAAACAGGG